UACAGAGGUGGCAAGCGUUGUUCGGAAUUACUGGGCGUAAAGCGCGUGUAGGCGGCUCUUCAAGUCAGGCGUGAAAGCCCCCGGGCUCAACUCGGGAACUGCCUUUGAUACUGGCGACCUUGAGGCUGGAAGAGGUUAGUGGAAUUCCCCAGUGUAGAGGUGAAAUUCGUAGAUAUUGGGAAGAACACCAGUGGCGAAGGCGGCUAACUGGUCCAGAUCUGACGCUGAGGUGCGAAAAGCGUGGGGAGCAAACAGG
rnacentral:rRNA from 1 species